GACGAACGCUGGCGGCGUGCUUAACACAUGCAAGUCGAACGGAAAGGCCCUGCUGUUGUCAGGUGCGCGAGUGGCGAACGUAUGACUUACACGUGAGUCCCCUGCCUUGGGCUUUAUUACAACUACAGGAAACUGGGGCUAAUACCGGAUACUUGCUCCUGCUGCAUGGGGUGGGAUGUCACGUCUCGGCGGUUGGGGAUCGACUCGCGGCUUAUCAGCUUGUUGGUGGGGUAGUGGCUUACCAAGGCUUGGACGGGUAGCCGGCCUGAGAGGGUGACCGGCCACAUUGGGACUGAGAUACGGCCCAGACUCCUACGGGAGGCAGCAGUGGGGAAUAUUGCACAAUGGGCGGAAGCCUGAUGCAGCAACGCCGCGUGCGGGAUGACGGCCUUCGGGUUGUAAACCUCUUUCGCCUGUGACGAAGCGUGAGUGACGGUAAUGGGUAAAGAAGCACCGGCUAACUACGUG
rnacentral:rRNA from 1 species